rnacentral:lncRNA from 1 species
CAUUUUUGUAAACAAGUUUUAACCUACGUUUUCUCUUUCCUGGCUACUUUUGAUUAUAGAUACUUCUCCAGUGGCUCAAUUAACCAACUGCUGAAAUAUAUCAACUACUACUGAGGCCCAGCUCAUUGAAUUGAAAUUGGAGUGAUUGUCUGAGAUUUCGUCUCAAAGAUGAGCGCCAUGGCUACAAACACCCCUCCUGCUCCACCUGAGGUUUGUAAAAUCUUGGAGUUCUGUGUAACAUUCUGCAUCGCCCAGACUUAAAGGAGCUGCACAAAAUGUGCCCUUCCCAUCUUCAGGUAUUGUCAUGUCAUGUCUUGUUUCUUAUUUAUCUAUUGAUA